CUCUGGACUACAUAAUGUUGGUUAUGCGUGUGGCUGAACUCCUCCUAAUUACUGUGAUUACAGUUCUUCUCAUCAGAGCUCGAGGAGCAAGACGAUGAAGGUGACGGUGCCUUCGGAGCCCCUGUUCCCUCUGUGAGACUCCACUGAUCAACAACUUCCACGUAAACAUCAACUCAAAAAAGAGAGAAGCAAACCUUGCAACAUAAUUUUGAGUAGUUUCUUAGGUGUUGAAAAACAUACGUCUAAAUUGUUUCCAUGUUUAAUAAUUUAGGCUUUAAAAUUUUGCUCAUACCUGUAUGUUUGUGUAAACGAGAGAUUAACGGACUUUCAUUUAUAACACUGAUGUAAAACGUGUUUUUGUGCACUUUGUUGUGUGUUUUUAAAUGAGCUUUCAGCCAUAACAGAGUGUAUUUACUAUAAAUGAGAAAAGUGUAAUCUGCAAAUACAAAAGUGUUUGGAAACCAA